UACGGAGGGUGCGAGCGUUGUCCGGAAUCACUGGGCGUAAAGGGCGCGUAGGCGGCAUGCCAAGCGUGUGGUGAAAGCCCGGGGCUCAACCCCGGGUCGGCCGUGCGGACUGGCGUGCUCGAGCACUGUAGGGGCGGGUGGAAUUCCGGGUGUAGCGGUGGAAUGCGUAGAGAUCCGGAAGAACACCGGUGGCGAAGGCGGCCCGCUGGGCAGGAAGGCUCGCAAGAGCCGGCUGACGCUGAGGCGCGACAUCGUGGGGAGCAAACAGG
rnacentral:rRNA from 1 species